GACCAUAUCACGUUGAAACACCGGUUCGCGUACGAUCACCGAAGUUAAGCAACAUCGAGCCUGGUCGGUACAUAGAUGGGUUAACAUUUGGGAAUACCAGGUGUU